rnacentral:ncRNA from 2 species
UAAUGGGGUAGAGGCGCAAAACGAAUGAGUACAAUUGGGGAGCUGAUGGCUGGCUUAGAACCAAAUGGAAAGGUCAAUUUGCCGAAGCGCUUAUUUUGCCAUGAAAUAAGUGCUGGGUCGUUUGUGAACAAUGAACGAACUGUCACUACAUUCGUAGUGGAGGACUAUUCUAGAA